UAGUUUUAGAGUGGAGAUUAUGUUUUCUUUUUUUUGUUUGUUUGUUUGAGACAGGGUCUUGCUGUGUUGCCCAGGCUGGAGUGCAGUGGCAUGAUCACAGCUCACUGCAGCCUCCACCUCCCAGGCUCAAGCGAUCCUCCCAUCUCAGCCUCCUGAGUAGCUAUGACUACAGGCACGCUACUACACCUGGCUAAUUUUUGUAUUUUUUGUAGAGAUGAGGUUUUGCCCUGUUGCGCAGGCUGGUCUCUUAACUCCUGGACUCAAGCAAUCUGCCUGCCUCGGCCUGCCGUUACAGGCUUGAGCCACGGCGCCUGUCUAUGUUCUCUUUUCACUGUUGGGUCAGAGGGUCAUAUUGUUGGAUGAUAGUGAUGGUUACUUUGCAUUUUGGAACGGGAAACUUAAACAUGAACUGUUAUACGGUACUCUACUGAAUCUUUUACAAUUUUUUUUGGGUUUUGCAAAUAGGUAUGAGCAUUCUCCAAGGAAAGGAUGACAUAUUUUUGGACCUGAAACAGAAAUUCUGGAAUACCUAUCUGAGUGGACUGAUGUACUGGCCCUUUGUACAGCUGACCAACUUCAGCCUUGUUCCUGUUCAAUGGAGAACAGCUUACGCUGGAGUCUGUGGUUUUCUCUGGGCCACCUUCAUCUGUUUUUCCCAGCAGAGUGGUGACGGCACAUUCAAGUCAGCUUUCACCAUUUUAUAUACAAAGGGGACCAGUGCCACAGAAGGGUCCCCGAAGAAAUGAGAAGUCAAGGACUCUCUUAAAGGGACCACAUUUUUUACCUAAAAUGCACAGAAUUGCCUGCAGACAAAAUAUUUGAUGUGCCAAUUAUGCACUUCAUUUUGAGGAAUUACUACUAUUUAUAGACCCACUUUUUAAAAAAUUAUCAAUGAUUAUUUUUGAAUUGUAUUCAGACUUUUUUCCUGUUCUAGUCUGAAAUAUUACUUCUCUAAUAUUUUGGUUAAUAUGAAUAAUAGUGGCAAAAUGGCAUUUUAGAAUUAUUAAUAUUUCUAAUAUUUUAACACAAGUUUCAGGAAACUUGGUUUUGAUUGUUCACAUUUCUAUUCUAAAAUCUCAGGUUAUCUCCUGAACACUUUUGGGCAGAUGAAGUUUUAUACCAAAAAAUAGUUCUUAGAGUGAAUUUUAAUUUACAUAGAACUCAAUCGAAAUGAAGAUUUAAUAACCAGAUUUCUUUCUCCAAAACAUACACAAUUUGUUGUUUUAGUAAAUACCUUUUUUUUUUUUUUUUUUUUUGGGGUGGAGUCUUGCUGUCUCCCCGGCUGGAGCGCAGUGGCACGAUCUCGGCUCACUGCAGCCUCCAUCCUCUGGGUUCAAGCAAUUCUCCUGCCUCAGGCUCCUGAGUAGCUGGGAUUACAGGCACGUGAUACCAGGCCCAGCUGAUUUUUGUAUUUUUGUUCGUUUGCUUUUGUUUUUGACACAGAGUCUCGCUCUGUCGCCCAAGCUGGAGUGCAGUUGUGAGAUCUCGGCUCACUGCAAGCUCCGCCUCCCGGGUUCACGCCAUUCUGCGUCAGCCUCCCAAGUAGCUGGGACUACAGGCACCUGCCACGAUGCCUAGCUAAUUUUUUGUAUUUUUAGUAGAGAUGAAGUUUCACCGUGUUGGCCAGGAUGGUCUUGAUCUCCUGACCGCAUAAUCCACCCACCUCGGCCUCCCAAAGUGCUGGGAUUACAGGCAUGAGCCACCACAACCGACUUUUUUUUUUUUUUUUUUUUUUUGAGACAGAGACUCGCUGUGUCACCCAGGCUGGAGUGCAGUGGCAUGAUUUCGGCUUACUGCAACCUCUGCCUCCUGGGUUCAAACGAUCCUACUGCCUCAUCCUUCGGAGUAGCUGAGAUUACAGGCGUGUGCCACCAUGCCUGGCUCAUUUUUGUAUUUUUAGUAGAGAGGGCGUUUUGCCAUGUUGGCUAGGCUGGUCUCUGUCCGGCCUCUGAGCUCAAGCUAAGCCAUCAUAUCCCAGUGACCUGCACAUAUACAUCCAGAUGGCCUGAAGUUACUGAAGAUCCACAGAAGUGAAAAUAGCCUUAACUGAUGACAUUGCACCAUUGUGAUUUGUUACUGCCCCACCCUAACUGAUCAAUGUACUUUGUAAUCUCUCCCACCCUUAAGAAGGUUCUUUUUAAUUCUCCCCACCCUUGAGAAUGUACUUUGUGAGAUCCACCCCCUGCCCGCAAAACAUUGCUCCAAACUCCACCACCUAUCCCCAAACCUGUAAGAACUAAUGAUAAUCCACCACUCUUUGCUGACUCCUUUUUUGGACUUAGCCCGCCUGCACCCAGGUGAAAUAAACAGCCAUGUUGCUCAUACAAAGCCUGUUUGGUGGCCUCUUCACACGGACACGUGAGACAGUCUCCAACUCCUGGCCUCAACUGAUCCACUCUCAUUGGCCUCCCAAGGUGCUGGGAUUAUAGGCAUGAGCCACCGCACCUGGCUCAGUAAGUACAUUUUUUUAUUAUCAAAAACAGAGUAGUGUAUGAUUGGCGUAUUCUGUGUAGAAUGUAUUUUAUUGAUGUCUUCUAUUUUUAUAAUUUCUGAGUUAAGUACUUUUUAAUGAAUGCUUUUUAGUUUUGGGCAGAUUCAGUUGACUAAAGCACCUCAUUUCCCAGAUACAUGAAAUAAAAUACUUGGUUUCUUUUCCAAUUUCACACUGAUGUUAUUUUGUGAAAAUCAGUGCUUUAAGAUAAAUCUUUAUACUUUAAGGUAAACAUGAGAAACUUGAUCUAAUAUUUAAUAUUUAUUCAGUUCUACACUUUAUUAACUUCUACACCAGCAGAUUUAAAAAUUAUGUAACUAUCUCAAGAAGUUUCACUUGGACGUAGUGGUUCACGCUUGUAAUCCCAGCACUUUGGGAGGCUGAGGUGGGAGGAUUGCUUAAGGCAAGGAGUUUGAGACCAGCCUGGGCAAUACAGCAAGAUCCCAUCUCUAUUUUAAAGAAAAGUUUCACUUUGGGAGGCCAAGGCGGUUCGAUCACAAGGACAGGAGAUCGAGACCAUCCUGGCUAACAUGGUAAAACCCCAUCUCUACUAAAAAUACAAAAAAUUAGCCAGGCGUGGUGGUGGGCGCCUGUAGUCCCAGCUACUCGGGAGGCUGAGGCAGACGAAUGGCAUGAACCCGGGAGGCAGAGCUUGCAGUGAGCUGAGAUUGGGCCACUGCACUCCAGCCUGGGUGACAGAGUGAGACUCCGUCUCAAAAAAAAAAAAAGUUUCAGUAAAUUCCACCUAAGAAUUCCACAAGAGUUCUGUCAUCUCCAAUGUCAUGUUCCACAGAUUUCAAGUUGUGAAGCCCUGAACUGUUAAUUUAUCCUGAG
rnacentral:lncRNA from 1 species